rnacentral:miRNA from 1 species
UGUUGUGCGGCCCACAUUGUUCACACUUGUCAACAAUAUCGAACAAUAUUGUUGAGCCUGAAUCAGGUGUAACAAUAUUAUUGUUCAAUAUUGUUGACAACAGUGAACAAAGUGGGCCGCACAAC